GACGUAGGGCGCGAGCGUUGUCCGGAUUUAUUGGGCGUAAAGAGCUCGUAGGCGGCUUGUCACGUCGAUUGUGAAAGCCCGAGGCUUAACCUCGGAUCUGCAGUCGAUACGGGCUAGCUAGAGUGUGGUAGGGGAGAUCGGAAUUCCUGGUGUAGCGGUGAAAUGCGCAGAUAUCAGGAGGAACACCGGUGGCGAAGGCGGAUCUCUGGGCCAUUACUGACGCUGAGGAGCGAAAGCGUGGGGAGCGAACAGG
rnacentral:rRNA from 1 species